rnacentral:rRNA from 2 species
UUGUACUGUGAAACUGCGAAUGGCUCAUUAAAUCAGUUAUCGUUUAUUUGAUAGUACCUUACUACAUGGAUACCUGUGGUAAUUCUAGAGCUAAUACAUGCUAAAAACCCCGACUUCAGGAAGGGGUGUAUUUAUUAGAUAAAAAACCAACGCCCUUCGGGGCUCCUUGGUGAAUCAUAAUAACUUAACGAAUCGCAUGGCCUUGCGCCGGCGAUGGUUCAUUCAAAUUUCUGCCCUAUCAACUUUCGAUGGUAGGAUAGUGGCCUACCAUGGUGGCAACGGGUAACGGGGAAUUAGGGUUCGAUUCCGGAGAGGGAGCCUGAGAAACGGCUACCACAUCCAAGGAAGGCAGCAGGCGCGCAAAUUACCCAAUCCCGAUACGGGGAGGUAGUGACAAUAAAUACUGAUACGGGGCUCUUUUGGGUCUCGUAAUUGGAAUGAGAACAAUUUAAAUCCCUUAACGAGGAACAAUUGGAGGGCAAGUCUGGUGCCAGCAGCCGCGGUAAUUCCAGCUCCAAUAGCGUAUAUUAAAGUUGUUGCAGUUAAAAAGCUCGUAGUUGAACCUUGGGCCUGGCUGGCCGGUCCGCCUCACCGCGAGUACUGGUCCGGCUGGGCCUUUCCUUCUGGGGAACCUCAUGGCCUUCACUGGCUGUGGGGGGAACCAGGACUUUUACUGUGAAAAAAUUAGAGUGUUCAAAGCAGGCCUUUGCUCGAAUACAUUAGCAUGGAAUAAUAGAAUAGGACGUGUGGUUCUAUUUUGUUGGUUUCUAGGACCGCCGUAAUGAUUAAUAGGGAUAGUCGGGGGCGUCAGUAUUCAGCUGUCAGAGGUGAAAUUCUUGGAUUUGCUGAAGACUAACUACUGCGAAAGCAUUCGCCAAGGAUGUUUUCAUUAAUCAGGGAACGAAAGUUAGGGGAUCGAAGACGAUCAGAUACCGUCGUAGUCUUAACCAUAAACUAUGCCGACUAGGGAUCGGACGGGAUUCUAUAAUGACCCGUUCGGCACCUUACGAGAAAUCAAA